ensembl:lncRNA
AUGUAAAAGCUUUAUAUUCUGUUGGUUGCCAAGAAGUACUGAGUAUGGUGUUUUAUGGUAUUUCAGGUUACUUACCCAAAUAACAUGUGGUAAGAAGUCAAGCCCUGAGGAAUUGUUAGGUGGAAAUAGAUGAUCCUUCUGUGGCUUUAUAUACAUCCUACCCUACUUGAGCAAAGUCCAGAGAAUCUCUUAGUGCUGCUUAGGGAAAUUUUAUCAGCAUCAGUAUAAUAUUAAGAGGAGGAAUCAAGCAAUUAAUUUCUUUCAAGACCCAAAGGAUAACGUUUAUCAUGCUCCGGUUCGGCCAGCACUUCAUCAAGCCCUCUGUGGUCUUCCUGAAGACCGAGCUCUCCUUUGCUCUCGUGAACCGCAAGCCAGUGGUCCCGGGCCGUAUCCUUCUGAGCAGUGCCUUCACCAUGGGCACCUGCGCUCCUGGGAGAAGCAGGGAAGCUCGGUGUGCUCCUCAGGCCAGCUGUCAAUCCUGUGAAUUCAGCUUGACAUUUGAAAAUCAAACUCUGCUAAUAGUAACCAUGAGUAGAAGUAGGAAGAAUAGAGUAUUCCUGGUAAGGAAAGAGCUCCUGUUCCUAGAGAGAGCUGCCGUAACUGACUCAGGAUUAGGUUUCUUUCUAAUGGCUACACAGUAGUUAAUGGGUUCACGAACCUCUUUGUCAUAGGAACUCCUCAAGGGAAGAUGUACUGAUCAUGGCAGAUUGUUGAAUGGGAAGUAACUGGUACCUUAAUAUUGAAUAUGGGCUGCAAUCUCUGCUGUCGAAGAUAAAAUAUGUUCAUGCAAUUGACAAUUGCAGCAAACUCAUUCAACUCUUUUGUCACAACCAGACGGAGAAGGAAAACUGCACAUGGCCAGCAUGCAGGGUUGGUGCCUAUUCCAUUCAGGGCAUCCAGUCCCAUUGCUGUCAUCCAAUGGAAAAACUCUUAAGGCUCAAGAGGUGGCUGUUCUCAGUCUCUAUGAAGACAUCAAAUCAGUUAACUUUCACUACAAAAUGAGGAAUACAUACCUGCUUUGUUCAUCCCUAUAUUUCAAAGUGGAAGAUGGGCCUUCCCUUCCCUUGUCUGUCUUAUUUCAGAGUAGCCAGGCACGUUGUCCUGGCAGCUGUCUUGCUGGAUGAGCUUUUGUUUCAGGGGGUGUUUUUUCCCUGUUUUGUACAGAAGUGCUGUGAUAUUGUUUCAGCAGUCCCUGUGGAUUCUUAUGGAGCCAAGAGUCUAGAUGGGAAUACUACAUGCAGCAUACAUCUCAGCAGUUUGGAAGUGGGGAGGAGGUCAGCUGCCUGUUGUACAUAUCCCAGCAAGCUUACACAGCUACCAAUACCAUUUUCUAUGGAAAUGCUCUUUGAAGAGGGAUUGUGAAAAGCCAUCUGUGGCUGUCUUGAACAACUUUUAGAUGUAUUAGAGAAGAUAGCUUUCAGUAGCUGGAAUAGUGCAGGGAUGUGUCUGUAGUCAGCACAUUCUGUCCUUCCUUCACUCAGAAUGCACAAGUCAAGAAGUGGUUCAGCUCAUGCACCUGGCAAGAAAUAUUUCUCCCUGCCUUCUCAGUUUAUUUCAUUCAUAGCAUUGCUGUUUCCAUAGCUCAGAGCAAACCUUUAGUGUCUUCGUUAAGGAAAUCUAUCUGUUCUUUGACACAAACUUUGUGUGGCUACAAAUACUUUGUGAAUGACUUACCAUUUUACAGAUCUUUUCCUAGCCAUACACCAUGGUUUCACAUGGUUUUACUCACAUUUUCUGUAAAAGUGAACUGUGUUUUUUGUCACUUUCUCACUGCGUUGUGCAGGGUACGUGCUUUCAUUUUGUGUUAAACAUGAAAAAUGAUUUUGAGCAUUAGCAGAAUCCACUCUGGGGCUAGGACUUCUAUUGUAAAUAAAACUAUUCAUUUGUUAUGUCCCA